rnacentral:rRNA from 1 species
UACGUAGGGUGCAAGCGUUAAUCGGAAUUACUGGGCGUAAAGCGUGCGCAGGCGGUUUUGUAAGUCAGAUGUGAAAUCCCCGGGCUUAACCCUGGGAACUGCGUUUGAAACUACAAGGCUAGAGUGUGGCAGAGGGGGGUGGAAUUCCACGUGUAGCAGUGAAAUGCGUAGAGAUGUGGAGGAACACCGAUGGCGAAGGCAGCCCCCUGGGUUAACACUGACGC